AAGUCGUAACAAGGUUUCCGUAGGUGAACCUGCGGAAGGAUCAUUAACAAAUAGCGAGAUACCAUGUGUAGCGAAACGUUGCUCCCGGUGGGGAGUGGGAGUGGCACAAAAACGAUUGUCAGAGAGAAUAGUAAGUUUAUAGCAACAACUUUUAACAAUGGAUCUCUUGGCUCUU
rnacentral:misc_RNA from 1 species